rnacentral:rRNA from 1 species
GCUUAUGGCCAUAUCACGUUGAAUGCACUAGUUCUCCUCUGUACACUCUGAAGUUAAGCAAUGUCGAGCCAUGUUAGUACUUAGAUAGGUGACCGCUAGGGAAACCACCUUCUUGUUUGGA